UGUAAAUUCCAUCCGAAAUCGACGAAAAUACGAAUGAACGAUCAAAAGGUGUCUCUCUUUCAGCUGAAGAAAGGUCAUUUCAUUGCUUAAACUGCCAUCCAUACCUCAGUUAUUUGCAUAUAAGUUUGGUGGGUGGAAAGUUAAUCUGAAAAGCUUGAAUCAUGUGAUGGAAUGGAAGAAGACAAGUUGUUAUUAGGUAGAAAAACAUGUAAAAUGGUCUCUAUGAUUUGAUAA